CCUACGGGUGGCAGCAGUGGGGGAUAUUGCACAAUGGGGGAAACCCUGAUGCAGCGAUGCCGCGUGAGUGAAGAAGCAUUUCGGUAUGUAAAGCCCUGUCAGCAGGGAAGAAAAUGACAGUACCUGACCAAGAAGCCCCGGCUAACUACGUGCCAGCAGCCGCGGUAAUACGUAGGGGGCAAGCGUUAUCCGGAUUUACUGGGUGUAAAGGGAGCGUAGGCGGUUAUGUAAGUCUGGUGUGAAAGCCCGGGGCCCAACCCCGGGAGUGCAUUGGAAACUGUGAAGCUGGAGUGCCGGAGAGGCAAGCGGAAUUCCUGGUGUAGCGGUGAAAUGCGUAGAUAUCAGGAGGAACACCAGCGGCGGAGGCGGCCUACUGGACUGAAACUGACGUUGAGGCUCGAAAGCGUGGGGAGCAAACAGGAUUAGAUACCCGGGUAGUC
rnacentral:rRNA from 1 species